rnacentral:rRNA from 1 species
ACGGAAGGCAGCAGUGGGGGAUAUUGCACAAUGGGCGAAAGCCUGAUGCAGCAACGCCGCGUGAGGGAUGACGGUUUUCGGAUUGUAAACCUCUGUCUUCGGUGAAGAUAAUGACAUUAGCCGAGGAGGAAGCCACGGCUAACUACGUGCCAGCAGCCGCGGUAAUACGUAGGUGGCAAGCGUUGUCCGGAUUUACUGGGUGUAAAGGGAGCGCAGGCGGGAGAUCAAGUCAGUGGUGAAAUGCAUGGGCUUAACCCAUGAACUGCCAUUGAAACUGACCUUCUUGAGUGAAGUAGAGGCAAGCGGAAUUCCGAGUGUAGCGGUGAAAUGCGUAGAUAUUCGGAGGAACACCAGUGGCGAAGGCGGCUUGCUGGGCUUUUACUGACGCUGAGGCUCGAAAGUGUGGGGAGCAAACAGGAUUAGAUACCCUGGUA